rnacentral:tRNA from 1 species
AUAAACGUUUUAAUCUUUUUUAAAAAGUUAAACUUAUUGGUUUCUCACG